AUCCCUUCUCGGCCUUUUGGCUAAGAUCAAGUGUAGAAUCCUGGUCAUGUGAGGAGAAAGCAAGGAAGGUUCUAGAUUGUUAGGUGGUCUCAACUGGUGAAAUUAUAGAAAGAAUUCUACAACAGGAAGAAUUACAAAUGGGUUGAUAUUUAUAUUGUUUGUUCAGUUGUAUCUGACUCUUU